UACGUAGGGUGCAAGCGUUAUCCGGAAUUAUUGGGCGUAAAGAGCUCGUAGGCGGUUUGUCGCGUCUGCCGUGAAAGUCCGGGGCUUAACUCCGGAUCUGCGGUGGGUACGGGCAGACUAGAGUGCAGUAGGGGAGACUGGAAUUCCUGGUGUAGCGGUGAAAUGCGCAGAUAUCAGGAGGAACACCGAUGGCGAAGGCAGGUCUCUGGGCUGUAACUGACGCUCAUGCACGAAAGCGUGGGGAGCAAACAGG
rnacentral:rRNA from 1 species